CAUGCAGAUACCAUCCGAUCACCCUAUCCUUUUCAGACACUGCAGCUGGAAUGAUAUCUGUGGAGUCAAUUUAGAGUCACAAUAGAUCUGUGUCUGUGUAAACUAAUCUGUGCGUGCCUAACCAGAUUUUUACACACACAUUGGUAAACACAUUUUUAGGCAUUACGCUGGUGACAACCUGUGACACAGAAAGGGAACAGGUAUCAACCCAUUUCUUGAUGAUUUGAGUAUUCAGGCCUGAGACUCAGCUCCACACAUUGAGUUUCUCCCUAUAAUAGAUCAGGAAAUAAACAAAUUCAACGAUUUUAAUAAAAAGAUGUUAAGAAUUAUUUUUAACAUAGAUUAGUGGACAGAUGUGAUUUUCUAUUUUGAGUUAUCAUAAUCAUAUUAUCCGGUGAUUUCCAGGUGAGGUGAGGCUUUGCCUCCACUGACAGCACAUCAAUGCUGUUGCCUUGAUGAUGGUUGAUUUAAAUUUAACUUGCUAACUGGAAUCUGCCUCUUUGGAAAACUGCAAACAAAAUGCAAAGAUUUCUGUGAUUUUUUUUUCUUUUUACAUAUAAUACAUAAACAUAGAUUGUUUUUGCAGGGAUGGCAUGUCCAUGGAAACACUAGCCGGUUUGAAUCUUAAACUUUGUGCAUUGAAAAAUGUUUACUUUAACAUCUUUCCCUAUAUUUAAUCAAAUAGAAUUUUACACAUUUUGAAAGGAAGAAAUGCCACGUCUGCAUUUCUGUUGAAGAACCCAGCUCCACCUCCCACAACAGCAGGCAGACAGUUCAGCAUUUUCGCUGUCUCAAAAUCAACCAAGGCCGCAACUGCAAAAGUUUGUCUGAAGCAGGUUACCCGACCUGGGCAACACUGUUACAUGAACGCCUUGCAGGCCCUCCUGACCCUGGAGCCUUUCAUCCAUGAGUUCUACUGCCAGGUGCAAAUUGCAAGUUCCAGCUUCAUCUUCCGGCACGCCAGGAUGGUUGCACAGUUUGAGCUUGACUUUGACCACGACGAUAUAAACUGACGCUUGUCUGUUCAUGCUGCAGUUCAUGUCAUUGGACCUGCAGAGAGCUCACAUCAAUUUUCAGAUGUCGAAAACCCUGACGAUGUGGGAUGCAGUCCAUGACUUAUCAUGGCUCAACAGCUUUGAGCUGGCACUGUUCCCUAGACAUUCAGUGGAGCAGUGUCUGGACGUGUACCUGAAACGACAACCACACUUCCAUUAGUGUAGCUGUGAUGGAGACACUGUGGAACACUGGUCAUUUGUGACCCUGCCAAAGGUUCAUUGACAUGGAGGGACAGCGAAAGUGAAGAUGCCCACCAAUCUGUCACUGUAUCUGAUAACAACAACAUGUAUUGUAACAGUCCAGCUGACGAUGGUGACCAGUGUUCCAUAUCUUCUUAAGCCAUUCUUCAUGUGUGGGUGUCUGCAGAGAUGGGCUAGGCAGUCUUACCAACAGCUGAUUGAGAUGCAACCAUGAGUCAGUCAGCCAGAAAUCAGGCUACUCGAUCGGUCUCAUGGAAGUGAUCAAAGAGAUGGUGGUGACAACAAAGAGCAGAUGGGCCAAGAGUUAGCUUCAUCGUGGGCCAUUUGGGCCCAUUAACAGAUGAUGUAUUUCGCAGACUUGUCGUAGACUUGUUACGACUGCACCAGCUGUUUCCUGGACCUGGUUCCGUCUCCAUCACAGGCUGCAGGUGACACCUUGUAUCCAUAUCUCAAGUCAUCAGAAUCAGCAGAGUUGUUGCCUCAAUGCCUGUUGAAAUGUUCUUAAAGCCUGGGUGACAUUAAAACUAUUACACUGAAGCCAUGGAGAAGGUGAAAGAGAGGAGGAUGUGAUGCAUUUUGGACAAUACCUCUAACCCGCUGCAUCAGACUGUGGAGGGUCUGUGCAGCUCCAUCAGUGACAGACCGAUACCGCCAGUCUAGGAAGCAGUGUUACCACAGAUUUUUCAUUCCCAGCUAUUGUCUAACUCCACAUUUUAACCUCACACUUGAUGUAUGUGCACAGCUUGUUUUUAUUUAUUUUGAUUUAUGUUAAUUAUGAGGCCCAUUUUGUAUAUUGUUUAUAUUCUAAUUAUAGUUUUUGUACACUUUAACCUUUUUUUAAACCCGUUGGUUGAGAGCUGCUUAAGAAGUGUAAUUCUCUGAUGUGAGAUCAGUAAAGAUUUAUCUUUAUCUUGUAACACUACAGAGGGCCCAACCUCAACUACAAACUGUUUUUCUUCAAAAUCUCAUUUGGCAGUUUGUUACCUACCCUAAAUUAAUGUAAACGCAGUUUAAUGGAACAACCAAUCAGUCCUUCAAUAACAGUUCAUGGAAUCAAUUAUUUAGAGCUGUAAAAUAUGAAACAUUUACUAAGUAAUAGAAAACACCUAAUGUUCUUUCAGUGCCUGAGGAUGUUAUGAAGAAGGUGAACUAAUGAUCCACUACUUAUUUGUCAGUUUUAUGAAUUGGUUAGAACUUCUAUAACUACCACAACUGCAGAAUAUCGAUAUUGAAAUAUUUCCUCUUAAACAGUUAUAAUCCAGUAUAUAUCAAUUCAUGUCAGAAAUAAAGAUGGACACUUAAGCCCUUUACAGCAGCUAUUGAAACGGGAUGUCUGCACCUUAUUACUUUAACCGUACUGCUUCUACAGUAUGUGCCCUACUUAUUGUUCUUAACUGCUCUGAGCUCAUUUUAUGCAUUGCGCACUGUAAAGAGCUUUGCAAGUUUGAUUCCUGUGUAUGUUUGAUACAUAUGGUAUUGACAAUGACACUGACCUUUAAAAAGAUGAAAAGACUGUGGUCUUAGUAAAUGUGUAAAAUAAAAUAUUUCUAUUUCCAAUCAUUCGUGGAUACAUUUGUAGAGAUACAAGUAACAGUACAUCAAACAAAGUCAGCCAACUCCUGUAAAGAGCUCUACCUUGCUCCUUAGUAGCUAAAUAAAAAAAAUGCCACCUUUAACAGUGGGAAAAUCCAAGUGCAUGCUGGCAAAACUUGUAACUGUGACUGUUUGAAAUCCAAAUAUUCAAAAUUACUCAUCAUGAUAAGACAGUAGCAAAAUAUUACAUAUCAAGAAAGAAAGGCUAACAUGAAAAGAGUAUUCUUUAAGACAUGGUUACAGAAACAACAAUUUUAUAGAGACUAGUAACAAACAGACCCCUCUCAAAAGCAGGUCCUUCAGAAGCUAAGGAAGAAUGUAUGGGUUUCAGUGUGGGCCAUGUAAUCUGUGGGGAUAUGGGCAGAAAGACACAAUCAAACCACCAGUCUGCCAGG